UAUCAACGGGUCAACACAGAGGUCAUGGUCAUCAACGGGUCAACACCAGGUUAUCAACGGGUCAACACCAGGUUAUCAACGGGUCAACACCGAGGUCAAGGUUAUCAACGGGUCAACACCAGGUUAUCAACGGGUCAACACCAGGUCAUCAACGGGUCAACACCAGGUUAUCAACGGGUCAACACCAGGUUAUCAACGGGUCAACACCAGGUUAUCAACGGGUCAACACCAGGUCAUCAACGGGUCAACACCAGGUCAUCAACGGGUCAACACAGAGGUCAUCGUCAUCAACGGGUCAACACCAGGUUAUCAACGGGUCAACACCAGGUUAUCAACGGGUCAACACCAGGUCAUCAACGGGUCAACACCAGGUUAUCAACGGGUCAACACCAGGUUAUCAACGGGUCAACACCAGGUCAUCAACGGGUCAACACCAGGUUAUCAACGGGUCAACACCAGGUCAUCAACGGGUCAACACCAGGUUAUCAACGGGUCAACACCAGGUUAUCAACGGGUCAACACCAGAUCAUCAACGGGUCAACACCAGGUCAUCAACGGGUCAACACCAGGUUAUCAACGGGUCAACACAGAGGUCAUGGUCAUCAACGGGUCAACACCAGGUCAUCAACGGGUCAACACCAGGUUAUCAACGGGUCAACACCAG